GCUAGGUUUCAAUGUGGAGACUGUGGAAUACAAGAACAUUAGCUUUACCGUGUGGGAUGUCGGGGGUCAAGACAAG
rnacentral:sRNA from 1 species